UACGGAGGGUGCGAGCGUUGUCCGGAAUCACUGGGCGUAAAGGGCGCGUAGGCGGCGCGAGCAGUCGAUCGUGAAAGUCCGGAGCUCAACUCCGGAUCGGCGGUCGAUACUCUCGUGCUUGAGCACUGUAGAGGCAGAUGGAAUUCCGGGUGUAGCGGUGGAAUGCGUAGAGAUCCGGAAGAACACCGGUGGCGAAGGCGGUCUGCUGGGCAGUUGCUGACGCUGAUGCGCGAAAGCGUGGGGAGCAAACAGG
rnacentral:rRNA from 1 species